GCCGCCCUUGCGCGGGGAGCUGCCCCGCUGUCCCUUGAGCUGCGGCUCCCUCGCACACAGGCGUCCGACAGCCCGCGGGGGGGGGCGGGCACCCCGGACGUGCUCUCCCCCAGCCCGGAGCAGGCAUUGAAGAGGCCAGAGAUGGGCAGCCCCAAUUCAAUCAAAGUAUCGAGUCCCUUUGGAUUUUCUGCUAAGUAGUCCAGUAACUUCCCAGUUUUCUUCCUACUUGAGGGUCGACAAGAUAUUUCUUCAGCAUCCUCUCUACAAGCAAAGAACAUGAAAAACCAUGUGCCACAAAUUCUGACAAAGCACUUCAGGUAAAUUACAUAAGCAGCGAAGACAACUAUUUAAGAAACCAAACCCAAAGUCAAACAGACAUGCUUCACUGAAAUGAACAUAAAGCAUCCAAUGAUGGAAGUGAGAUAAACAACUACUGAAGAAAAUUAAUCCAGUAACUCUCAGAGAUUCAGUAAAACAAAUUUCAGCAAGGAGCAGUAACACCAACAUGCAAAACAGAGAUGGCAUCUGUGAAGUGACUGGAAUCCUGAAAGAGAUUAAGCAGUGGUUUCCCCCAUGCCCUUGGACCUUCACCAUGCUGCUGGAAUGGAGACACCAACCAUCUAUAACAGUGGUUCUCAAACUUCUGUGCUGGUGACCCCUUUCACAUAGCAAGCCUCUGAGUGCGACCCCCCCCAUUAAAAAACACAUUUUUAUAUAUUAUAAACGCUGGAAGCAAAGAGGGGUUUUCGGUGGAGGCUGACAGCUUGCAACCCCCCAUGUAAUAGCCUUGCAACCCCAACGGGUCCCAACCCCCCAUUUGAGAACACCUGAUUCUAUAAGGAUAUUAAUGAAACAUCCACAGUGCUGGAGAAUAAGGAGUAAAUAAAUAAUAUUGCCUGCUAGAAGCUGAUAGUUUUUGUACAGCCAAUGUAGUUAGGCACCAAAGGAACCAAAAAUAAAGCUUAGAAUAUUGAUAUUUUGUUAAUCCCUUGUGAGUCUUUUCCACUAAUUUUUUUAUGCCUUAGAGUCACUUAUGGCUCAGCUGUGACCUCAUAACUAGGCGUUUUAGCACCCAGGGCAAGCAAACAUAUUUACACGCCUUACCAUUCCCCCCUCAUCAUUUUCUCACCCCAUUCAGAGGCAGCACUUACAUGUUUGUUGAUAGUGUGGGGAGGACACAAUUUAAAGGUUUGGGGAGGGGGCAUGUGACCACCCCACAGAGGUUUUCAAACUGUGGAGUGUGCCCCACACACCCCUGGGGCAGAACAAUGGUGGGGGGAUGAACGGUGACACCAAGUGGUUUGGGCCAGCCCUGCAUGGUGGGGCUCAGGGAUGGGGCACCACUUCCACCCCCUGACUCAAAUCAGUGAGCCACCCAGCCUGUCAGAGGUUUGGGGGUCACACAACAAAAAAAAUCAGGAGAACAGGAACACGAUCCUGUGUACCCACCCCAUGCACCACUUCUGCCCUCAUUUUUCCACCCCUUCAGCUUUGCGCCCUGGAGGACUGUCCCACUCACACAGCCCUGGGUCAAAAUAACAUAAGAUCUGGGUUUCUGAAGUCAAUUCCACUUUCCGGUAUUGGAUGAUCAGGAGAACAGUUAACAAACAAAACACAAAUAGGCCUGCAUUUGGCUCCAAGCUAUACAAUUAAAAAAUAAUUUCCGCCUCACUGUUCAAAACCAGGGAGUUUUGUUAUUUUUCCACCACAAACAGCCCCAGCCUGCUUGGCCUCUCAUCCUUUCCACAGUGUCAAUGUUAACUGAGAACAGAGCGACACGCGGACAUCCUGCCUAAAGGAACAACACUAUUUCUUUCACGACCCCCGCGUGUGUCCUGUGACCAGGCAAAGGGAGGGGGAGGGGACAACCCAGCUCGCGGUCAGCGGCGCCCCCGCGAGGACACGGGGUGUGUC